rnacentral:antisense_RNA from 1 species
CUUCACCGAGCCGAGCCACAGCGGCCGGUCCUGCGGGCGGCCCUGGCCGUACGUGGCCAGCAGCGCCUGCGCCUC